rnacentral:rRNA from 1 species
GUCUAUGGCCAUGCCACCCUGCACACACCCGAUCUUGUCUGAUCUCAGAAGCUAAGCAGGGUCAGGCCUGGUUAGAACUUGGAUGGGAGUCCAUGUAGAUACAUACG